GUUAAGACAGAUGGUGGUUUUGUGCAAGUAUCAUAUGCAGUAGGAUUUUUGAGUUUUAUAAUGAAAUAGUAGGGAAUGAGAAUUGGGAAGCCAGCAAGUUGCACUAGCGUUGCCAUCCAUUUGCUAUUUCCACCUUUAACAAAAUACAUUCUUCCUAAGAUAACAGCCACUGACUGACCAAAGAGGAGAAACAGUAUAUAGAGCGACACUCGAAACCACCAAUUGUAGUUUCUUCUUUGUGGCAGUGUUGACUGGUUUGUGAAACUCGCAGACUCGGGUGAAUUUUCUUCUUUAGCUUCCUGAACCAUAAUUUGAAGUUGCACUUCUUGAGCUUCUCCCAUGUCAAGAGGUUCAGAAGUUCCAA
rnacentral:misc_RNA from 1 species